UCCAGGCCACAGUUCCGAGUGCUAACAGAGAUUAGUAAGCUCAAACUUACUAAAGAGGGUUAUUAGAGGACAGAAACAAACUUUGAUGUAUAUAUAUGAUGUGUGAUGAUGGAUAUACUCUUGUAAUUAACUUUAUGUCUUUGAGCACCAAACUUUGAUGUCCACAAAUAUAUGUAUGAGAUGAAGUAUUUAAAUUGCAUGUUGCUAUGUUAGAAGACCAACCAAUAUCAAUAUAUUUAAAUAAUAACAAUAAAAUAAUAAAUAAAUAAAUAAAUAAAUUAAAAAAUAAACAAAUAAUAUAUAUUUUAAUAUGUUUCCACAGGCGGC
rnacentral:lncRNA from 1 species